AUUCAUCUGUCAUCUGCUGUACACAUCUGUACUGUAGUGAGGGCAGUGCGGUUAUGUUGUGGGGUUCAUAUCGAUGGUCUAUGACGUCCAUAAUGCUUUAGUGUGAAGCAGUCACAAAGAUCUUCUCUCUCAAUAAACAGCUAAAGUUCAAAAGGCAAUUGAAGUGAUGGAUGAGUUGUGUUUGUGUCCAGGUCUCCAGUCUACUAUGGAUGAGGAGAGAGAAGAGGGGGGUCCUACCUCUAAGACCACUCUGUCUGGGGAACAUGGCCGCCGGAGCAAAGCUAAGAGCCCAGAGAAGCAGGAGAGAACAGACCCCCUGGACCCAGCUGUGUCUCCAUGAAGAGUGGCUGGUCUAUGGAUCCACCUGUUAGUUUUAAAGAUGGAAAUCAGUCUAUCAAGAAGAGAAGAGUCCAGCAGGAGAGAGCAGACUCCCCUGGACCCAGCUGUGUCUCCAUGAAGAGUGGCUGGUCUAUGGAUCCACCUGUUAGUUUUAAAGAUGGAAAUCAGUCUAUCAAGAAGAGAAGAGUCCAGCAGGAGAGAGCAGACUCCCCUGGACCCAGCUGUGUCUCCAUGAAGAGUGACUGGUCUAUGGAUAUACCAUUGGUGUUUAAAGAUGGACGUUCCUCCAGCGAGGAGAGGUAGG
ensembl:lncRNA